rnacentral:rRNA from 1 species
UUGAACGCUGGCGGAAUGCUUUACACAUGCAAGUCGGGCAGCAGCGCGGGGGCAACCCUGGCGGCGAGCGGCGAACGGGUGAGUAACAUAUCGGAACGUACCCAGACGUGGGGGACAACUAGUCGAAAGACUAGCUAAUACCGCAUACGUCCUGAGGGAGAAAGCGGGGGAUCGCAAGACCUCGCGCGUUUGGAGCGGCCGAUAUCUGAUUAGCUAGAUGGUGGGGUAAAGGCCCACCAUGGCGACGAUCAGUAGCUGGUCUGAGAGGAUGAUCAGCCACACUGGAACUGAGACACGGUCCAGACUCCUACGGGAGGCAGCAGUGGGGAAUUUUGGACAAUGGGGGAAACCCUGAUCCAGCCAUUCCGCGUGAGUGAAGAAGGCCUUCGGGUUGUAAACUGCUUUUGUACGGAACGAAACGGCUCUCUCUAAUACGGGGGGCUAAUGACGGUACCGUAAGAAUAAGCACCGGCUAACUACGU